rnacentral:rRNA from 1 species
GUAGGGAAUAUUGCGCAAUGGGGGAAACCCUGACGCAGCAACGCCGCGUGAGUGAGGAAGGUCUUCGGAUUGUAAAACUCUUUUAUUAGGGAAAAAUGUCUAGGUGGCUAAUAUCCACUUAGAGUGAUGGUACCUAAGGAAUAAGCACCGGCUAACUUCGUGCCAGCAGCCGCGGUAAUACGAAGGGUGCAAGCGUUGUUCGGAAUCAUUGGGCGUAAAGCGCGCGCAGGCGGGUCAGUAAGUCAGGUGUGAAAUCUCGGAGCUCAACUCCGAAACUGCGCCUGAAACUAUUGGUCUAGAGUAUCGGAGGGGACAGGGGAAUUUCACGUGUAGGGGUAAAAUCCGUAGAGAUGUGAAGGAACACCGGAGGCGAAGGCGCCUGUCUGGACGAUUACUGACGCUGAGGCGCGAAAGCGUGGGGAGCAAACAGGAUUAGAAACCCCUGUAGUCC